GAUGGGUCUGGAGUUCAAAUUCCGGACGGGACGGUGAAUUUGCUCUACUGAUGAGCUCCAAUAAGAGCGAAACUCAAG
rnacentral:hammerhead_ribozyme from 13 species